ACAUGUCAACUAACUUGGCAGAAGCAAUGAACUUGGUACUCAAAGAAACCUGAAACUUACCAAUCACUGCAUUGGUUUAGUCUACCUAUUAUCGAUUGGGAUCACUCUUUGGUAAAAUAGGCCAUCAGUGGACAAAAAUAUUGGCUUCUGGGCAAAUUUUCACAGAUAAUUGCAAUAAGGGAAUGGUUGAAGAAGUCAC
rnacentral:lncRNA from 1 species